rnacentral:miRNA from 1 species
AUGAUAGAAUUUCUAAAUUAGAAG